rnacentral:rRNA from 1 species
AACGAACGCUGGCGGCAUGCCUAAUACAUGCAAGUCGAACGAGACCUUCGGGUCUAGUGGCGCACGGGUGCGUAACGCGUGGGAAUCUGCCCUUGGGUUCGGAAUAACGGUUGGAAACGACUGCUAAUACCGGAUGAUGACGAAAGUCCAAAGAUUUAUCGCCCAGGGAUGAGCCCGCGUAGGAUUAGCUAGUUGGUGAG